UACGUAGGGUGCAAGCGUUGUCCGGAAUUUAUUGGGCGUAAAGAGCUCGUAGGCGGUUUGUCGCGUCUGCUGUGAAAAACCCGAGGCUCAACCUCGGGCCUGCAGUGGGUACGGGCAGGCUAGAGUGCGGUAGGGGAGAUUGGAAUUCCUGGUGUAGCGGUGGAAUGCGCAGAUAUCAGGAGGAACACCAAUGGCGAAGGCAGAUCUCUGGGCCGUAACUGACGCUGAGGAGCGAAAGCAUGGGGAGCGAACAGGA
rnacentral:rRNA from 1 species